rnacentral:rRNA from 1 species
CCUACGGGAGGCAGCAGUGGGGAAUAUUGCACAAUGGGGGCAACCCUGAUCCAGCAACGCCGCGUGAAGGAAGACGGCUUUAGGAUUGUAAACUUCUGUUCUUAGUGAAGCAUAAUGACGGUAGCUAAGGAGCAAGCCACGGCUAACUACGUGCCAGCAGCCGCGGGAAUACGGAGGUGGCAAGCGUUGUCCGGAAUUACUGGGGGUAAAGGGAGCGCAGGCGGGAAGCCAAGUCAGCUGUGAAAAUUACGGGCGUAACUUGUAGACUGCAGUUGAAACUGGUUGUCUUGAGUGAAGGAGAGGUAGGCGGAAUGCGGGGUGUAGCGGUGAAAUGCGUAGAUAUCCGGAAGAACACCGAUUGCGAAGGCAGCCAACUGGGCUUUAACUGACGCUGAGGCACGAAAGUGUGGGGAGCAAACAGGAUUAGAUACCCGAGUAGUC